UACGUAGGGGGCAAGCGUUGUCCGGAUUUAUUGGGCGUAAAGAGCGUGUAGGCGGCCUUACAGGUCAGCUGUGAAAACUCGAGGCUCAACCUCGAGACGUCGGUUGAAACCGUAAGGCUAGAGUCCGGAAGAGGAGAGUGGGAAUUCCCGGUGUAGCGGUGAAAUGCGCAGAUAUCGGGAAGAACACCCGUGGCGAAGGCGGCUCUCUGGGACGGUACUGACGCUGAGACGCGAAAGCGUGGGGAGCGAACAGG
rnacentral:rRNA from 1 species